GUCUACAGCCAUGCCACCCAGAACGCACCCAAUCUCAGAAGCUAAGCAGGGUUGAGCCUGGUUAGUACUUGCAUGGGAGACCACCUAGAAAUACCAGGUGCUGUAGGUG
rnacentral:rRNA from 1 species